rnacentral:lncRNA from 1 species
CAGAGGUCUUGGGAGUGGCAUCUUCUGAGCAUCUUCAGAGCUGCCCCUUCAUGGAGGGGAUCACUCUUCCCUGGAAGUGGAAGGGCGGGCAGAAGACCUCCUAUGGCUCAGAGCACAGAGUCAGAGGAAGCAAAGGCAGGCUUUGCAGGAUGUGUGUGGGUACGUAAUGGCAACCUGAAAGCACAGAGACACGCAGGUAUCCUGAGACCUCCCCCACACCUCCCCAGGAACCUGUGCAUGGUAUGUUCAUGUUUCUAUCCUCUGCCUGGAGAGUGAUCACUCCAUCUCUCUCUCUCUGUCCUUCAGGCAGUCACCCAUGCCGGGGCAGCAAACACUGCCCUGCGUCUUCUGCUGAUGCUCUCAAAAGCAGCGUGUGACAAGCCAUGACUCACUUAUCAGCACCAGUCAUGGAGAUCCAGUCACAAUUAUGGAAAGGAGCUAAGGGUGGGAGGAGCCUGCCAUCACCUACCCAUCACAUCUCUUCUGAGCACAAAUGAUGCGUGCAGGGCAUGGGGCCAUGUCCCUGGUGGAGCUGGACAGCCUGGAAGUCAGAAUCCUGGUGAGCUCCUUGCUUUGUCAAUGGUUAAGCUGUGACACUCUGGCACCCUCAUUUCAGAUGCAGACUAACAUUGGUAUAAAGAGAACUUCCCAG